GACGAACGCUGGCGGCGUGCUUAACACAUGCAAGUCGAACGAAGCUUGAUUACGGAUUCUUCGGAUGAAGUAUGAUAUGACUGAGUGGCGGACGGGUGAGUAACGCGUGAGUAACCUGCCCUUCAGAGGGGGAUAGCGUUUGGAAACGAACGGUAAUACCGCAUAAUGUAUUUUGACCGCAUGAUCGAAAUACCAAAGAUUUAUCGCUGAAGGAUGGACUCGCGUCUGAUUAGGUAGUUGGUGGGGUAACGGCCUACCAAGCCGACGAUCAGUAGCCGGACUGGGAGGUUGAUCGGCCACAUUGGGACUGAGACACGGCCCAGACUCCUACGGGAGGCAGCAGUGGGGAAUAUUGCACAAUGGGCGCAAGCCUGGUGCAGCAACGCCGCGUGAAGGAAGACGGUUUUCGGAUUGUAAACUUCUGUUCUUAGUGAAGAAUAAUGACGGUAGCUAAGGAGCAAGCCACGGCUAACUACGUG
rnacentral:rRNA from 1 species